CUCUCUCUCUCUCUCUUGUGUAUGUAUGUGUGGGUGCUCCUGCCUCUGUACUGAACUACCAAUCCGCGGUCAGUUGGCACUGGACUGCAAUGGCGAACAGACGUGAUAUUGAAGCGAUGAGAACAUACAAAAGAGACGCUUCACCACAUCACUUUAACUUGGAAAUAAAGUCGUACUCCUCAUUAUCAACCACGCUCGCAAAAAA